CCUACGGGUGGCUGCAGUGGGGAAUAUUGGACAAUGGGGGCAACCCUGAUCCAGCCAUGCCGCGUGUGUGAAGAAGGCCCUCGGGUUGUAAAGCACUUUCAGUGAGGAAGAACGCCUGGUGGUUAAUACCCAUCAGGAAAGACAUCACUCACAGAAGAAGCCCCGGCUAACUCCGUGCCAGCAGCCGCGGUAAUACGGAGGGUGCGAGCGUUAAUCGGAAUUACUGGGCGUAAAGCGCGCGUAGGUGGCUUGAUAAGCCGGUUGUGAAAGCCCCGGGCUCAACCUGGGAACGGCAUCCGGAACUGUCAAGCUAGAGUGCAGGAGAGGAAGGUAGAAUUCCCGGUGUAGCGGUGAAAUGCGUAGAGAUCGGGAGGAAUACCAGUGGCGAAGGCGGCCUUCUGGACUGACACUGACACUGAGGUGCGAAAGCGUGGGUAGCAAACAGGAUUAGAUACCCCGGUAGUC
rnacentral:rRNA from 1 species